rnacentral:rRNA from 1 species
CCUACGGGUGGCAGCAGUGAGGAAUAUUGGUCAAUGGGCGCGAGCCUGAACCAGCCAAGUAGCGUGAAGGAUGACUGCCCUACGGGUUGUAAACUUCUUUUAUAAAGGAAUAAAGUGAGGCACGUGUGCCUUUUUGUCUGUACUUUAUGAAUAAGGAUCGGCUAACUCCGUGCCAGCAGCCGCGGUAAUACGGAGGAUCCGAGCGUUAUCCGGAUUUAUUGGGUUUAAAGGGAGCGUAGAUGGUGUGUGAAGUCAGUUGUGAAAGUUGGGGGCACAAACGUAAGAUUGCAAUGGAUACUGGAGGCGUGGAGUACAGUAGAGGUAGGCGGAAUUCGUGGUGUAGCGGUGAAAUGCGUAGAUAUCACGAAGAACUCCGAUGGCGAAGGCAGCUUACUAAACUGCAACUGACAUUGAGGCUCGAAAGUGUGGGUAGCAAACAGGAUUAGAUACCCUGGUAGUC